UCGAGCGAGCUUGCCUAGAUGAUUUUAGUGCUUGCACUAAAUGAAACUACAUACAAGCGAGCGGCGGACGGGUGAGUAACACGUGGGUAACCUGCCCAAGAGACUGGGAUAACACCUGGAAACAGAUGCUAAUACCGGAUAACAACACUAGACGCAUGUCUAGAGUUUGAAAGAUGGUUCUGCUAUCACUCUUGGAUGGACCUGCGGUGCAUUAGCUAGUUGGUAAGGUAACGGCUUACCAAGGCAAUGAUGCAUAGCCGAGUUGAGAGACUGAUCGGCCACAUUGGGACUGAGACACGGCCCAAACUCCUACGGGAGGCAGCAGUAGGGAAUCUUCCACAAUGGACGAAAGUCUGAUGGAGCAACGCCGCGUGAGUGAAGAAGGGUUUCGGCUCGUAAAGCUCUGUUGGUAGUGAAGAAAGAUAGAGGUAGUAACUGGCCUUUAUUUGACGGUAAUUACUUAGAAAGUCACGGCUAACUACGUGCCAGCAGCCGCGGUAAUACGUAGGUGGCAAGCGUUGUCCGGAUUUAUUGGGCGUAAAGCGAGUGCAGGCGGUUCAAUAAGUCUGAUGUGAAAGCCUUCGGCUCAACCGGAGAAUUGCAUCAGAAACUGUUGAACUUGAGUGCAGAAGAGGAGAGUGGAACUCCAUGUGUAGCGGUGGAAUGCGUAGAUAUAUGGAAGAACACCAGUGGCGAAGGCGGCUCUCUGGUCUGCAACUGACGCUGAGGCUCGAAAGCAUGGGUAGCGAACAGGAUUAGAUACCCUGGUAG
rnacentral:rRNA from 1 species